GCUCCAGUGGCGCAGUUGGUUAGCGCUUCGUGCUUAUAACUGUUAACGAUGUUACGGCUUAUGCCUUAUGUCACGGUCGUGUGAGAAACGCGACGGUCGUGGGUUCGAAACCCUCCUGGAGCA
rfam:Babjeviella inositovora NRRL Y-12698 unplaced genomic scaffold BABINscaffold_13, whole genome shotgun sequence.